rnacentral:tRNA from 1 species
GGGCAGAUACCGAAGUGGUCAAACGGGGGAGACUGUAAAUCUCUUGGCAUUCGCCUUCAGUGGUUCGAAUCCACUUCUGCCCA